GGGGAGGCACAUAGCCACGAUCCCAGGCGCCGGGCCAAGUCGCCCGCUGAGCGUCUUCUGCUGGAGGCGACGUGGGGCGGGGGCAACUAAGUUAUCCAGUUAAGAAAUGUGCACUCGCUCUGGACUCUGCUAACUGCUGACGACGGACUCCGCUUCUUGCCUCAGAGGAGGAAGCACGUACCUUCUGUAUGUAACAAAAUGAGGACGGCUGCUUUAAAGCAACUUAAAUAUUGUUGUGUUAAAGAAUAUUUACACUGAUCUCAUUGUAUCAUUUAGCUUCAGAGCUCAAAAUCCUGCUUUACUUGGAUAAGAGCAUGAAGUCCAAAUCUACGCAAGUCAGAAUCUACGCAAGAAAAGCACUAUUGGUAGAAAUGAAUACACUUUGAAUGCCAUGGGCCACCCUGUCUUCUGAGCAGGUGAUAGAACUACAACUCCAACUGGUUUUAGCAAUGAAGAAGAUUUCCAGUUUCACAUCCUUCAAGGGUCCAGAGGUGGCUGCAGAUUCAGGAGACAUGCACCAGGAGGAGCUGGCAAGUUUCCUUGGCAAGAACAGAUGAAUAAAUAAGAAGCAUGAGCUUGCGACUUUUAGCUGAGAUCUCCUCUCCGUGGUUCUCCACUGUGUGCUGUGCCUGGAGAUUGACUUUUGUGGACCACAUCAAUGAGAUUCAUUGCUUUAUGGUCUCCCACUGGAUUCAGCCAACAAGAGACUGCAGUUGGCCAAAGAGAACUUUGUGGUGGUUUGGAGAAGCAAUGUGAGGACACAGCUUCAAUGCCUGAAGGUCAUGGCUGUCAUUUGCAGAGAGAGACAGGUGCAGAGGGAAAAGUGCAAAUGCAGUCUCCCAUGACAACAAAUGAUGCAGUCGAGUUUCCCAUAUUUGGGGAAAUUGCGGAAGUUUGUACACCCAGGGUGCAAUGGAUAAGCCUCACCCUGGGAAAACCAUCUUUGUGAUGAUGGUAUUUGCCCUGACAGGAUCUUAAAAUUUCGAAUGGGAACCAAGAUAUAAUAGAAAUGAAAUUCCAAAGUGAGGCACCAGCUCAUCACAUGCAGCAUUUACAAAGACAAAUCAGCUUCAAAAGUUUUGAGCACCUCAUCUAGAGGUUCAAGAGAGUGAGAUGUAGAAAGGUGAUUUUUUUAAAUGAGUAAAUGGGGCCACUCAGAACUUGAUAUGCAGCCCCUAAAACUUUGGAGACCCAGGAGAUGGUAAUCUGUCUCCUAACCCAAGAAAUUCGGAGGUCAGGGAAGGGCUGCUGAUACCUUUUUGUGGUUGUCUGUGGGUGGCUUUUGCAUAUGGGAAAUGAGCGUGUUCCCUGUCCACCAUGGGUCACAGCGUGUAUGAGUGUCUCCCGUGGACCAGCCACUGACUCUGGAAGAAAGAGAGUGCCCCUGGAGCUAUUUCAGACCCUUGGCAAGGGGACUCCCUCAAAGGGGUGAAGAGACUCCCAACAGUGAGCAUCUGACCAUGAGCUGGACACACUGUGACCAGCCAAAGAAGAACCAUAGUCUACAUUAUGAGGCCAGCAUCUGGAAGAGCCCACAAGUGCAUUCCUAAGAGAAAGUGUUGGCAACUACUUACCUGAUACCAGAGAGCCGUGUCAUAAGGUGAAGAACAGACCUAGUGUGUCAGAAUGUGGCUUUUCCACAGCCCAUGCUCUUCCCUGCAGUCAGCCACUGCAGGAGGAGGGAACAUUGUAGGGAAAGAAUGAAGUAGAAUCACCCCUGCCUCCACCGCCUGAAAUUGACAGGCCACAGUGGGCCUAGCUGGAGAAUGGGAGAGGGGGCAUUAACUUUUGCCCAAACAUUUCAUUACUAUAGAGAACUAGUCAUUCUAACUUUCAAGUUGAGGCUUUAUGUGCUAAAGUGACCAUGAUACUGUCUAGCCUAAUUCAUUGGACCUAUCUAAGAUUUCACUCAGGAGUAGAGAAUUUCUAUUAAAGGGAAGAUGUUAGGAAAAAAUUACAUUGUGCUUUGAGUAUAUCCUGUGUUUGAUAGUUGUUCAAUGGGCUGCUUGCCUACCUUUCAGUGGCUUCCAGCUGGAAACAUUGGGGUCCACAGACCUGGCUGGUAAGAACACUGGCAAAUUGAAUGUGUGUGCAUAAGCAUUUGAAGCAUUGUCAUUGAAAAGCCUCGUCAUUGAAAAGCCUCUUAAAGGCAAGUGCAGAGCUUCCAAAAAAGCUAGCAUACACGGUAUACCCCACUUGGAUAUUCCUUGUGAAGAAUCAUUUAUGUGACAGAGACAAAAACAAAAAUUUUUUAUCAAAGAAAAAUUCGGAGACGUUCGUAGUUAUUUUGCAGCAUGCUUAUUGGUUGAUGUUGCAGUCAUAUUAUUUACUCACAUGAGGAGUCAGUUAGUAGAAUGAGCCAGGAAACAAAGGCAAAAACGGGAGUCAUAAGACAGAGAGGAGAAAAAUAAAACUGUUGGUAGUCUGGAAAUAGUGAAUCUUGUUUGUACAAUUUUUGCCUAAGCUGAUGAUCUGGAAGUGAGCAGAGAGAGGUCCACCUGACAGUCUGUGUUUGAGUAGGUCAACCAACGGUAUCAAAGAUAACAAGUUUCUUUGUUCAGGAAUUCUGCAGAAAGCUUUGAGGUUUGAGCUUGGAACAAAUAGUGGUACCAUCUUCCUGGCAUGUCUGCCAUUGUCCUCCCUUCAUAACUUCCUCCUUGGUUCAACCUGCACCACUUAGUUCAGCAGAUUUUCUCAUCAUUGAAAACCUUCUACCAUCCCUCCUUUUGUCCAUUCGAAGACAGUUUUAAGUGUGUUUGAUUAGGAAGGAAAACCAGAGAGUUCCUAAAAGCUGAUUUUUUUCUAAGUU